UAAUAUCGAACAACUGACGUUAACAUAUUACUCCAAAUUAUCCCAAAAAACGUAUAAUUUUCGGCCUGAACCAUCUCUUUAAGCAAAUUAUUUAUUUCUUGGGAAUCGUAGCGAUACCAAUGUAUUGCAAUUCUCCCAAUAGGAUUUAUCACUAGACUCCUAUCGCUAUGUACGAUUUAGUCCAAUUAGAAACCGUUGAUCAAGAGCAACUCUGAAUGAAAGUCGACUUUCCGCUCUUUGAAGACGCUAAUAUAUAGGGAGGGUAUUCUUCUUGGACUCUUUCCGGGUUGGUUUUAUUAUCAAAUACGCCUCAGCUGGACAAGUGCUGAAUCCGAGGUGUACUUCCGAUCAAUAAGUUUCAAGAGUAUUGACUUUGGCUGUAAACUUUUUUAAGAGCCAGCUUAUACCAAUUUAUUCAAUAAUGAAGGGGUUUGUCUACCUUUGGAAAUUCUUUUCAUUUCUCACUCUCAAUACUCGAUCUUUAUUUUGAAAAGUCCCAAAGCCUCUCAAUAAUAAUGAUUACACUGAUAGUGAUUGUAAACUAUAAUAAACUACAAUUUAAAAACUAAAA